rnacentral:rRNA from 1 species
AUACAUGCAAGUCGAGCGGACCGACGGGAGCUUGCUCCCUUAGGUCAGCGGCGGACGGGUGAGUAACACGUGGGUAACCUGCCUGUAAGACUGGGAUAACUCCGGGAAACCGGGGCUAAUACCGGAUGCUUGAUUGAACCGCAUGGUUCAAUCAUAAAAGGCGGCUUCGGCUGCCGUUUACAGAUGGACCCGCGGCGCAUUAGCUAGUUGGUGAGGUAACGGCUCACCAAGGCGACGAUGCGUAGCCGACCUGAGAGGGUGAUCGGCCACACUGGGACUGAGACACGGCCCAGACUCCUACGGGAGGCAGCAGUAGGGAAUCUUCCGCAAUGGACGAAAGUCUGACGGAGCAACGCCGCGUGAGUGAUGAAGGUUUUCGGAUCGUAAAGCUCUGUUGUUAGGGAAGAACAAGUACCGUUCGAAUAGGGCGGUACCUUGACGGUACCUAACCAGAAAGCCACGGCUAACUACGUGCCAGCAGCCGCGGUAAUACGUAGGUGGCAAGCGUUGUCCGGAAUUAUUGGGCGUAAAGCGCGCGCAGGCGGUUUCUUAAGUCUGAUGUGAAAGCCCCCGGCUCAACCGGGGAGGGUCAUUGGAAACUGGGGAACUUGAGUGCAGAAGAGGAGAGU